AUGGAAAGAGGAGCAAAAGGGGAGACAGGAAAGGGGAGGAAAAGAGUCAACUGUAAAUUUGCAAACAUGCAUGUUACAUAUGUCCCAUGUUCAUGAUAAGGUAGAAACUUAACAGUUAAAUGCAUUAAAAUUAGACCCUACAUGUCAAAAAAUGAAAUGGAGAACACAGAGGCAUCUUGUGUGCAGCCUCUGUAAACCAGCCAGAGAUAGUCCAUGGUCAGUUGUCAAUUAUCAGAAAGAAAUGUAGGUCAGGUGCUGUGUGGAAAAUGGCAAAAGGGAGGAAAGUCCAGCAAGUCUUUCAGAAGGGGCUGGUUUCUGCUUAACCCUUAGGAAAGAAAGUCUAAUGGUGGUUAGUGAGGGAGGAUGUAUAAAGAAGCAUGUGUGAUCUCCCAUCUCGUCAUGGCUGGGAUCUCAGUUUCUAAGGUUUCUCUGGAGUCCCUUUGGCCAAGAUGAGUCCGUUCAGUCAGUUGGGGGACUUAGGAUUUUAUUUUUAUUUCUCAACAGCUACAUCCAAGGAAGCCAUCUCAAGUACAUACAAUGCACUGAAAACUUGGUCCUCAUGCUUAUGUGGAUGUCCUUUGUAUCCUGUGACACUCUCACACCUUUCAUCAAUUCAUAAAAAAGAACGUUAAAAAAAAAAAAAAGAUUUCUCUGCUUCCAAAUAGUAGAGAAGGAAACAGAGGGAAAAAAGUAACUUUACAAUGAAGACCGCUACACACUGCCUCAGCCAGGUGUAUUUUCAGAAUCACAUCUGCAGUUUUCAUGGAAAAUGCAUUGCUCGUUGGCUUCCCGACAAUGUUUGAGUAAUUGCCUCAUGUUUUCCAGCAAGCUGUGAGACCAACUCUGAGUACGGACAUAUAUCAAAAACAGAACCUAGCAAAUGCACUUUAGUAAGGCUCAUGUUUUACAUGUAAACACAUUGUCAAUUGUUGGAGAAACAUAAUUAAAAUGAAAUCUCCCAACCCGGAAAUCCUCUCCACAAAGAAAGAAGAGAAGGAGCAAGGAAAACAGAUGAAGAAGAAACAUUUAGUGAGGUUGGAAUGUGUUGUCCCCAGCAGCAGAAUGAAAAAGAUUGUAAAUAUACUAAACACUGCUGAGAAAUCAAGAAAGGUUGUCUUUUCGCUUGCUGACAAAUGACAUUUGAUGCAAAAA
rnacentral:lncRNA from 1 species